CUUCAACGACCCCAGCCACAACGGCCGUUCCCCGGCACGCUCUUGACCGUAGGUCGCGAUCAACGCCUGCGCCUC
rnacentral:antisense_RNA from 1 species